GAUGAACGCUGGCGGCGUGCCUAAUACAUGCAAGUCGAGCGAACAGACGAGGAGCUUGCUCCUCUGACGUUAGAGGCGGACGGGUGCGUCACUCGUGGAUAACCUACCUCUCCGACUGGGAUAACUUCGGCAGACAGGAGCUAAUGACGGAUAAUAUAUUGAACCGCAUGGUUCACUCGUGAAAGACGGUUUUGCUUUCAGUUAUAGAUUGAUCAGCGCCGCAUUAGCUAGUUGGUAAGGUAAAGGCUUACCAAGGCGACGAUGCGUAGCCGACCUGAGAGGGUGAUCGGCCACACGGGAUCUGAGACACGGUCCAGACUCCUACGGGAAGCAGCAGUAGGGAAUCUUCCGCAAUGGGCGAAAGCCUGACGGAGCAACGCCGCGUGAGUGAUGAAGGUCUUCGGAUCGUAAAACGCUGUAAUUAGGGAAGAACAAAUGUGUAAGUAACUAUGCACGUCUUGACGGUACCUAAUCAGAAAGCCACGGCUAACUACGUG
rnacentral:rRNA from 1 species